rnacentral:misc_RNA from 1 species
GAAAUUAAAUUGGAUUUUGGAUUAUUUUUAUUCUUAUGAUAAGUUUUGUCUCUUCGGUUUACACUUGGUUUUUUCCUAAUUAAACGUUAAUUAAUGCGUAUGUUGUAAAAAGUUGAGCUCUUUUUUGUCAAGGGAAGAGAAUCUGUGAACCGAUCAAUUUGGGAAAUCUGUUGGUUUUUUGGGUGUUAAUGUUUGUUGGGUAGGGGGGUUAUUUAUAAGGAAAAGCUAAUUGCUCGCAAAUCUAAGUAAACAUAGCUAUUUUAUGCUUCUGGGUUGAGUUGUUUAGCGAUGGAGAAAUCGAAGAUUGACCUUAUUGUUGGUGGCAAAUUUAAGCUAGGAAGGAAGAUUGGGAGUGGAUCCUUUGGAGAGCUCUAUCUGGGUGUAAAUGUG